UAGAGUUUGAUCCUGGCUCAGAUUGAACGCUGGCGGCAUGCCUUACACAUGCAAGUCGAACGGUAACGCGGGGCAACCUGGCGACGAGUGGCGAACGGGUGAGUAAUGCAUCGGAACGUGCCCAGUAGUGGGGGAUAGCCCGGCGAAAGCCGGAUUAAUACCGCAUACGACCUAUGGGUGAAAGCGGGGGACCGUAAGGCCUCGCGCUAUUGGAGCGGCCGAUGUCAGAUUAGGUUGUUGGUGGGGUAAAAGCCUACCAAGCCGACGAUCUGUAGCUGGUCUGAGAGGACGACCAGCCACACUGGGACUGAGACACGGCCCAGACUCCUACGGGAGGCAGCAGUGGGGAAUUUUGGACAAUGGGGGCAACCCUGAUCCAGCCAUGCCGCGUGCGGGAAGAAGGCCUUCGGGUUGUAAACCGCUUUUGCCAGGGAAGAAACGCGCUGAGUUAACACCUCGGCGUAAUGACGGUACCUGAAGAAUAAGCACCGGCUAACUACGUGCCAGCAGCCGCGGUAAUACGUAGGGUGCAAGCGUUAAUCGGAAUUACUGGGCGUAAAGCGUGCGCAGGCGGCUUUGCAAGACAGAUGUGAAAUCCCCGGGCUCAACUGGGAACUGCAUUUGUGACUGCAUCGC
rnacentral:rRNA from 1 species